GCGUGCGGCAGCUAUAAUGCAGUCGAGCGGACAGAUGGGAGCUUGCUCCCUGAUGUUAGCGGCGGACGGGUGAGUAACACGUGGGUAACCUGCCUGUAAGACUGGGAUAACUCCGGGAAACCGGGGCUAAUACCGGAUGCUUGUUUGAACCGCAUGGUUCAGACAUAAAAGGUGGCUUCGGCUACCACUUACAGAUGGACCCGCGGCGCAUUAGCUAGUUGGUGAGGUAACGGCUCACCAAGGCAACGAUGCGUAGCCGACCUGAGAGGGUGAUCGGCCACACUGGGACUGAGACACGGCCCAGACUCCUACGGGAGGCAGCAGUAGGGAAUCUUCCGCAAUGGACGAAAGUCUGACGGAGCAACGCCGCGUGAGUGAUGAAGGUUUUCGGAUCGUAAAGCUCUGUUGUUAGGGAAGAACAAGUGCCGUUCAAAUAGGGCGGCACCUUGACGGUACCUAACCAGAAAGCCACGGCUAACUACGUGCCAGCAGCCGCGGUAAUACGUAGGUGGCAAGCGUUGUCCGGAAUUAUUGGGCGUAAAGGGCUCGCAGGCGGUUUCUUAAGUCUGAUGUGAAAGCCCCCGGCUCAACCGGGGAGGGUCAUUGGAAACUGGGGAACUUGAGUGCAGAAGAGGAGAGUGGAAUUCCACGUGUAGCGGUGAAAUGCGUAGAGAUGUGGAGGAACACCAGUGGCGAAGGCGACUCUCUGGUCUGUAACUGACGCUGAGGAGCGAAAGCGUGGGGAGCGAACAGGAUUAGAUACCCUGGUAGUCCACGCCGUUAAACGAUGGUGCUAAGUGUAAGGGGUUCGCCCAUAGUGCUGCAGCUACGCAUUUAGCACCUCCGGCCUGGGGGGAAG
rnacentral:rRNA from 1 species